rnacentral:tRNA from 1 species
GCAGUGGUGGUUUAGUGGUAAAGUUCUCCCUUCCAUGCAGGAGAUCCAGAUUUGAUUCCUGGCCAAUGUA